ACGACAAUGAGCGACCGGUCGGAGUGGUAUGGCGUUCUAACCCGACAACCUGGUUCUGGUCUUUUACCUCUCCCUGGUUCGUCAUCUCUCCCUGCUCGA